rnacentral:rRNA from 1 species
AUUGAACGCUGGCGGCAGGCCUAACACAUGCAAGUCGAGCGGAGCGGCGGACGGGUGAGUAAGGCCUAGGAAUCGGCCUGGUAGUGGUGGAGAGCGUCCAGAAACGGGCCCUAAUACCACAUACUAGCGGAUGAGGCUAGGUCGGAUUAGCUAGUGGUUGGGGUAAAGGCAUACCAGGGCGACGAUCCGUAACUGGUCUGAGAGGAUGAUCAGUCACACUGGAACUGAGACACGGUCCAGACUCCUACGGGAGGCAGCAGUGGGGAAUAUUGGACAAUGGGCGAAAGCCUGAUCCAGCCAUGCCGCGUGUGUGAAGAAGGUCUUCGGAUUGUAAAGCACUUUCAGUUGGGAGGCGUUACCAACAGAAUAAGCACCGGCUAACUUCGUGCCAGCAGCCGCGGUAAUUC